GACGAACGCUGGCGGCGUGCUUAACACAUGCAAGUCGAACGGUGAUGCUCCAGCUUGCUGGAGUGGAUCAGUGGCGAACGGGUGAGUAACACGUGAGCAACCUGCCCCAGACUCUGGAAUAAGCGCUGGAAACGGCGUCUAAUACUGGAUACGAAACUGGCCCGCAUGGGCAUGGUUUGGAAAGUUUUUCGGUUUGGGAUGGGCUCGCGGCCUAUCAGCUUGUUGGUGAGGUAAUGGCUCACCAAGGCGACGACGGGUAGCCGGCCUGAGAGGGCGACCGGCCACACUGGGACUGAGACACGGCCCAGACUCCUACGGGAGGCAACAGUGGGGAAUAUUGCACAAUGGGCGAAAGCCUGAUGCAGCGACGCCGCGUGAGGGAUGACGGCCUUCGGGUUGUAAACCUCUUUCAGCAGGGAAGAAGCGAAAGUGACGGUACCUGCAGAAGAAGCACCGGCUAACUACGU
rnacentral:rRNA from 1 species